rnacentral:rRNA from 1 species
AGUGAACGCUGGCGGCAGGCCUAAUACAUGCAAGUCGAACGGCAGCACAGCAGAGCUUGCUCUGUGGGUGGCGAGUGGCGGACGGGUGAGGAAUACAUGGGAAUCUGCCCAGUCGUGGGGAUAACGUAGGGAAACUUACGCUAAUACCGCAUGCGCCCUUCGGGGGAAAGCCGGGGACCUUCGGGCCUGGCGCGAUUGGAUGAGCCCAUGUCGGAUUAGCUAGUUGGCGGGGUAAUGGCCCACCAAGGCGACGAUCCGUAGCUGGUCUGAGAGGAUGAUCAGCCACACUGGAACUGAGACACGGUCCAGACUCCUACGGGAGGCAGCAGUAGGGAAUAUUGGACAAUGGGCGCAAGCCUGAUCCAGCCAUGCCGCGUGAGUGAAGAAGGCCCUCGGGUUGUAAAGCUCUUUGUCCGGAAAGAAAAGCGCCGGGUUAAUACCCUAGUGUCCUGACGGUACCGGAAGAAUAAGCACCGGCUAAACUUCGUGCCAGCAGCCGCGGUAA